rnacentral:rRNA from 1 species
GGAUUAGAUACCCUGGUAGUCCACGCCCUAAACGAUGUCAACUAGCCGUUGGAGGAAUUCAAUCCUUUAGUGGCGCAGCUAACGCGUUAAGUUGACCGCCUGGGGAGUACGGCCGCAAGGUUAAAACUCAAAGGAAUUGACGGGGGCCCGCACAAGCGGUGGAGCAUGUGGUUUAAUUCGAUGCAACGCGAAGAACCUUACCAGGCCUUGACAUCCUCGGAACUUUCUAGAGAUAGAUUGGUGCCUUCGGGAACCGAGUGACAGGUGCUGCAUGGCUGUCGUCAGCUCGUGUUG